UCGAUGAGAUACGCGCCUGAUUGGGUCUCCCUUGUUGUAAUAAUGUACAUGAGGAGUAGAAGGAGGAGGAGGAGGAGGGGGAGGAGGACGGGCUCAGGCUGCUCCUUCACGCACGCACGCAGCCUUGCUGGCUGGAGCGUACGGAUCAGCCAAACACUUCCUUGGUCGCCGAUGGUUCUUCUGCCUCCUCUUUCUUUGCGUGGGGCUUUUUGAAAUCAGACGCGUCUCCGCGCGCCUCGAGCGCGUAAAAAUCUUUAUCGAUCUCUGGAGCCAAGUACUUUUUUUAAAAAAAUAUACAGGCAAUCCACAGGGUGGAAGGAAGGCGUGCCAUCAUGCUGCUAAAAACAAAAGAUGAAAGAAGAGCACGGAAGGGCAACAGGGGGCGGGCUGGAGCUUUGCAAGAUUGCAUGUUCUGACCCAGUGGCACAGUUGACAUCAGUGGUAACCACCAGGGUAUGAAGCCAUAUGUAGACCCAAACCAUCUCCUCAUUGUCCAUCACUGUUAGGCUGCACACUUGCAUUUUAGCUGUGGAAUUUUUAAAAUUAUGGUUCAUUUUCAUGUAAUUUUGCAUAAUGUAUAUUUUUUAGAUUUUCUUAAGGAGCUGAUGUCCUCACUCAAGUAUUCUGUGUGAAUAACACAUAAUAAGAAAUAUCUAUCAAGUACAUCCAAAUCUUAUUAAAAAUAUACUUGAACUGCAUUCCUUCUGUUUAUUAAUAAAAUUCCUCAAUAAUUUCACACACUUAAUCCAAAUA